AGGCUUUACUUCAAUGAAUGCUCUGCAAUAACCAGUGAGGUGAUGAAUGCAUUUAAGUAGCCAUUUCAAGAGAGGUAUCAACCAGGAGAAUAUAGCAUGACUUAUUUUGUAUCUCAACAUGAUAAUGAAACACGAUGUGUUUCCUGUAGCACGUAGAAGCACAUAAUGAAAGGAAAAGUGAAAGUCUAAGAUAAUUUUUAUUUUCUAUAAUAGUUCUCUCAUUAAGAAAUCUGAAAGAGACUAUGAAUUCAAAGGUCAAAUCAAGUAUUCAGGAAUGAAAAACACUAAAAUCACAUAACUGCUUAAAACAUAAUAAUAAUGUAUCCAUAAGUACAAAAAUAACAUGACUUAGACAAGGCGGAUAAAGAAUUACCUUUUCGGUAGAUCAGGCACAAGG
rnacentral:misc_RNA from 1 species